AACGAACGCUGGCGGCAUGCCUAACACAUGCAAGUCGAACGAGACCUUCGGGUCUAGUGGCGCACGGGUGCGUAACGCGUGGGAACCUGCCCUUAGGUUCGGAAUAACUCCCCGAAAGGGGUGCUAAUACCGGAUAAUGUCUUCGGACCAAAGAUUUAUCGCCUUUGGAUGGGCCCGCGUUGGAUUAGCUAGUUGGUAGGGUAAAAGCCUACCAAGGCGACGAUCCAUAGCUGGUCUGAGAGGAUGAUCAGCCACACUGGGACUGAGACACGGCCCAGACUCCUACGGGAGGCAGGAGUGGGGAAUAUUGGAAAAUGGGCGAAAGCAUGAUCCAGCAAUGCCGGGUGAGUGAUGAAGGCCUUAGGGUUGUAAAGCUCUUUUACCCGGGAUGAUAAUGACAGUACCGGGAGAAUAAGCUCCGGCUAACUCCGUG
rnacentral:rRNA from 1 species